rnacentral:tRNA from 1 species
GGCUCCGUAGCUCAGGGGAUGAGAGCACUCGGUUGCGAACCGAGAGGCCGCAGGUUCGAUUCCUGCCGGAGCCACCA